ACGGAGGGGGCUAGCGUUGUUCGGAAUUACUGGGCGUAAAGCGCACGUAGGCGGCUUUUUAAGUCAGAGGUGAAAGCCCGGAGCUCAACUCCGGAAUUGCCUUUGAGACUGGGAGGCUUGAAUCCAGGAGAGGUGAGUGGAAUUCCGAGUGUAGAGGUGAAAUUCGUAGAUAUUCGGAAGAACACCAGUGGCGAAGGCGGCUCACUGGACUGGUAUUGACGCUGAGGUGCGAAAGCGUGGGGAGCAAACGGGA
rnacentral:rRNA from 1 species